AUUGAACGCUGGCGGCAUGCUUUACACAUGCAAGUCGAACGGUAACAGGCCGCAAGGUGCUGACGAGUGGCGAACGGGUGAGUAAUGCAUCGGAACGUGCCCAGUCGUGGGGGAUAACGCAGCGAAAGCUGUGCUAAUACCGCAUACGAUCUAUGGAUGAAAGCGGGGGACCGUAAGGCCUCGCGCGAUUGGAGCGGCCGAUGUCAGAUUAGGUAGUUGGUGGGGUAAAGGCCCACCAAGCCAACGAUCUGUAGCUGGUCUGAGAGGACGACCAGCUACACUGGGACUGAGACACGGCCGAGACUCCUACGGGAGGCAGCAGUGGGGAAUUUUGGACAAUGGGCGCAAGCCUGAUUCAGCAAUGCCGCGUGCAGGAAGAAGGCCUUCGGGUUGUAAACUGCUUUUGUACGGAACGAAACGGUCUGGGUUAAUACCCUGGGCUAAUGACGGUACCGUAAGAAUAAGCACCGGCUAACUACGUGCCAGCCGCCGCAGUAACAC
rnacentral:rRNA from 1 species